GCCCUUGUAGCUCAGUUGGUAGAGCAGCUCCCUCUUAAGGAGACGGUCCUAGGUUCAAAUCCUAGCGGGGGCA
rnacentral:tRNA from 1 species